rnacentral:rRNA from 1 species
AGAGUGAACGCUGGCGGCAGGCCUAACACAUGCAAGUCGAACGGCAGCACAGAGGAGCUUGCUCCUUGGGUGGCGAGUGGCGGACGGGUGAGGAAAACGUCGGAAUCUGCCUAUUUGUGGGGGAUAACGUAGGGAAACUUACGCUAAUACCGCAUACGACCUACGGGUGAAAGCGGAGGACCUUCGGGGCUUCGCGCAGAUAGAUGAGCCGAGUCGGAUUAGCUAGUUGGCGGGUAAAGCCCACAAGGCGACGAUCCGUAGCUGGUCUGAGAGGAUGAUCAGCCACACUGGAACUGAGACACGGUCCAGACUCCGUACGGGAGCAGCAGGUGGGAAUAGUGGACAAGUGGGACGCAAGCCUGACUCCGAGCCAGUCGCCGACGUCGUGUAGAAGG